UGAAAUCCUACCCAUUUCUCUCUCUCUCUCUCUCUCUGUCUCUCUCAUUUUAGUAGGGGUAGAGAUAAAAAAUUAAACCCAGCACUACUGGUGGUGAAAAGACAUCAAGCGACAUUAUUGUUAUAGGUCGAGCAAUAUUGCUGGAUGAGAAGACCGACGACAUUGCUAGUGGAAGAGACUGGCAAUAUUACUGCUAGAGGCGACCGGCGAAGUUGCUGUUAACGAAUAUCGGCGAAGCUGCUGCUAGCGGACAGAGAUCGACGAUGUUGCUGCUGGUGGAGAGCGACGAAGCUGCUGGUGGUAAAAAUCGGUAAGUGAUGGUGGUGGAGCUCGAUGAACAUAGUGUGUGAGUUUACUGAUGUAACCUUUUCUAGUCAAUUUCUUCGUUGCCAGAAACGGUGUGAACGACGUUUUAUUUGCUUUCAUUUCUUGCCACCAUUCGUCGUUGUUUAUGUUUGUCAUCUCCUCCAUUUACUUCAUCGACCUCAACCAUUCCGGCAGUCAAGAUUCCUACCUCUCUCCUCCCUUCAAGCUCCAUCGGUCAUUAGUGGUAGUAGAGAGAAGAGAGAGCUCUCUCUCUCCAUAAACUUCUCUUUUUCACCUUUAAUAAUUUACUAUUUUUAUAAUGACUUUAAAAAUUUCUUCAAGUUAUUUCAAAUGGUCCCUAAUGUGAUAAAAUUUUAAUUUUAGAGAAAUUUGAAACUAAUAAUAAUUUUAAGGAUUAAAUUAAAAAAAUUUACCAAUUAAGUUAUUUAACCGAACUGACUAACAGAAUGAGGAAAUAGAGAGGAUAAUAAUUGAUGAAAAUAAAAGUUAAGGAGAUAUUAAAUAUUUUGAUAAAUAUAAAUAUUAUUAAGUUAUUUAAAUUUUAUUAAAAAUUAAUUAUAUUAGAAAUUAAAGUAAUUAAAAAUACUAAUUAAUUAUUUUUGUACAGAUAUUAAAUUUGACUUUUACACAGAAAUUAGACAAAAAAGUUUUAAUAUAAUAAAUAAAUUAUAAAGAAAAAUAGGUAUAUUCUUUUAAAAAUCAGAAAAUAAAUAAUAUAAAUCAAAUUUAGUUGAUGAUUAUUAAACAAAAUUUUUUAGGAAGGAAUAAAAGAAUAUAAUUUUUAAAUAUUAAGAACUGAGUAGUAUAAUAUGAAAAGAUAUGGAAAAAAUAGUAAUUAGUAAAUUUUUAGAAAUUCUAUAUUAAAUAAUUAAUAAUUUUAUUAUCUAAAAACUAGUAAAAAUCAAUAAAGAUCCAUUAAAAUUAUUAAUUAUUAUUAUAAGCAAGUAAAAGUAUAGUUCUAUUAUUUUUAAUGUAGAAAGAUAUAAAAGUGCUUUCAGAAUAUAUAUAAUUUUUUUUAUAAUCACUUAUUGAAUUAAGAAUUACUUAAAUUUCUUCUCAUAACUUAUAUAUUUAUACUUUUAGUAUAUUGAUAAAUAAUUAUUUUUAAAUUUUCGAAUAUUAUAAAAUUUAAUAAGUUAGUCUCACAUUAAUUGAUAAUUUUUAUUCAUUAUAGAUUCAAUAAAUUAAUAAUUCUAAUCUUUAAUAAUUUUUUAAUCUACCAAACAUAUUAAUUAUAAAAAGGUAUACUGUACCUUAAUAACAUAACUUGUCAAUUUGACUACUUAACAAAACAAAAAUGCAUGGAACCAUAUAGCCACCUACUUUCAGAAGAAAGCUUGAGUGCCAGCUAGAGUUACCAAGAUGCAGAAGCUGUCCUAGGCCUUUGAAUUCUUAUUCAGUUUUUGAAAUGUCUUCGGCAAUGCCUUUGACAUUCAAUUCCAAGGAGGCAAUCUCAGAUUCUUUGGUGUCUUUUAUUGACAUGUUCUGCGCCUGUUUCUUUUUUAAUACCCUUGUCUUCUCAUCAAUUGCAUUGAUCUCUUGUUUCAACUUGGUUUUUUCAUUACUGCACUUUGUAACCUGAGUCUGAUUUCCUUUAGACUGCUCCUGAAGCUGUCCAGUUGAUCUUUGAUUGCCAGUAAUUUAUUAAGCCGAUUCGCUAUGGCCUUUGACACCAAAUCCAAGCAUUUCCAAUUCAGCAAG
rnacentral:lncRNA from 1 species